CUGGCCAGGACUGGCCGGUGGCACGGGGCCGGCCGAUGAUGGCAUAGGGCUGGCUGAUGGCACGGGGCGCUGCCGGAGGCUUCCCGCCGGUGUGUGGCUCCACACAGCGACAGCGCUAAGAAGUGAGGCGGGCCGAGGCCGGCUGGCCCAGGGCCCCCCUGCCCAGAGGGCCCCCCCCUGCCCGGAGGGCCCCCCCCUGCCCGGAGGGCCCCCCCUGCCCGGAGGGCCCGCACGGGGGGGAGCCCUGACGGUCCCGGGCCGGGGCCGGGGGGAGAGGGGAAAGAGGGGGCUGUCCCGGGCAGGGCGGGCCGAGGAGAGGGCGGCGGAGGGCCGGGACCGAGCGGGACCCCGCGGCGCCCAGCGCCCCUCGCCCACACUGGACUUUGAUCCCAGGAGAAGAGCUCGUGCGGGAUAACUGAGCCAGGACCGAGCUUUGUGGGAUUUAUCGGAGCCCAAUUCCUUCAGCAGCAGCAGGAGCAGGAAAAAGACCGGCUCCGGGGAAGAGCUCAGCCCCGGUAGGACCGGCUGAGAGAAGCGCUCUGCCCCUCCGUCCCCCCGAGUCCCCUCGGUCCAGGACCGGAGGGGAUGGACAGAGCCCCCCGGUUCCUGCCGCGACCCCCUUUCCCCCCCCGGACUUUUGAUUGACCCCUCCUCCCGCCCUCUGCCCGGAUGGACGGAGAGUAAGUAAUUCCCCCCUCACCGUCCAUCCAGGGUGAACCACUGCUCGCUCCCCGCCUCUGGUGGCGACCAACAUCCCGGGUGGACCACUGCCCGCUCCCAGAGUUGGGAUUGGGCCCCUGCGACUUAGAAAAAGGCCUGGGUCAGGGGGUCGCGGGGUGGGCAGGGGAAAGGAGGGAGAGAAGACGAAGCUGGACGCUUUGGAGACACCAUGGGCGCAGAGGGCGGGAGCCAGGUCUGCCGGGCUCCGAAAUAAUCCCACCCGGGCACGAUGUCCACCAGCGGAUUGCCGAUGUUUGGGAAAUAGCUCUGCCAGGCGAGGCUGGCCCGGGAAUACCUGCUUUGAGAAACCAAGAAGUCUCUCCAUCCCAUCAUAUUGGCAAAUUGGAAAGAGAUCUCCUCGCCCUGCUAUGGAAAAUGAACUGCUGUAGAUAAAGAUUAUUGCAUCGGGAGGUGAACAGGCUAUAAUACACUUCAGUUUUAAGGUGAGUCUGCACAACUGAUUUUAUUAAUUUCCAUACAGCAGUGUAUAUUCUGGCUACACAGGCUAGAUGAAACGUCAAGUGCUAGCUACUGUGUUAAUUUUUUGAAAAUGAAUAUUGAGAUUAUAGCUUACUCUGGUUUACCAUAACUUUUGCUUUAACCUAGAUUUAGGAUAUUAUCCCAUCAUCAUUUUCCUUUCUU
rnacentral:lncRNA from 1 species